rnacentral:rRNA from 1 species
UGGAGAUACUAUUAGACUUGAGACCGGGAGAGGUUAGAGGUACUCCCAGGGUAGAGGUGAAAUUCUGUAAUCCUGGGAGGACCGCCUGUUGCGAAGGCGUCUAACUGGAACGGUUCUGACGGUGAGGGACGAAAGUUAGGGGCGCGAACCGGAUUAGAUACCCGGGUAGUCCUAACUGUAAACGAUGCGGACUUGGUGUUGGGGUGGCUUUGAGCUGCUCCAGUGCCGAAGGGAAGCUGUUAAGUCCGCCGCCUGGGAAGUACGGUCGCAAGACUGAAACUUAAGGAAUUGGCGGGGGAGCACCACAACGCGUGGAGCCUGCGGUUUAAUUGGAUUCAACGCCGGACAUCUCACCAGAGGCGACAGCUGUAUGAUAGCCAGGUUGAUGACUUUGCUUGACUAGCUGAGGAGAGGUGCAUGG